AGAAUCAACGCUGGCGGCGUGCCUAACACAUGCAAGUCGCACGAGAAAGGGACUUCGGUCCUGAGUAAAGUGGCGCACGGGUGAGUAACACGUGACUAACCUACCCUUGAGUGGGGGAUAACCUAGAGAAAUCUGGGCUAAUACCGCAUAAUACCUUCGGGUCAAAGGAGCAAUUCGCUUAAGGAGGGGUUCGCGGCCGAUUAGUUAGUUGGCGGGGUAAUGGCCCACCAAGACUAUGAUCGGUAU
rnacentral:rRNA from 1 species